rnacentral:rRNA from 1 species
GAUCAUGGCUCAGAACGAACGCUGGCGGCAGGUCUAGGCAUGCAAGUCGAACGGGUGUAGCAAUACAGUCAGUGGCGCACGAGUGAGUAACGCGUGGGAAGCUGCCCAUCACUGGGGAAUAACGUUUGGAAACGAACGCUAAUACCGCAUACGCCCGAAAGGGGAAAGAUUUAUCGGUGAUGGAUGUGCCCGCGUUGGAUUAGCUUGUUGUGGGGUAACGGCUACCAAGGCGAUGAUCCAUAGCUGGUCUGAGAGGACGAUCAGCCACGCUGGGACUGAGACACGGCCCAGACUCCUACGGGAGGCAGCAGCUAAGAAUAUUGGACAAUGGGGGAAACCCUGAAUCCAGCCAUGCCGCGUGAAUGAAGAAGGCCUUCGGGUUGUAAAGUUCUUUUAGUAGUGAAGAUGAUGACAGUAGCUACAGAAAAAGCACCGGCUAACUUCGUGCCAGCCGCCGC